CGCACGGUGGUUUAGUGGUUAGCACGUUCGCCUCACACCUUGAAUGGGGUUCCGGGUUCGAUUCCCGCCGGGGCCA